rnacentral:rRNA from 1 species
AUGCUUGGGAGAGGGAGACUGCCCAGGAUUUGCUGGGUUCAUCGUGCCUGGUUGAUACAAUCGCACCAGAUACGAGUUAGGAGAGAUCUAUCUGCAUUCAGGCUCACGGAAUGGACAGCGAGCUAUGAUAACAUCCCGACGCUCCGGUGGUUGGCGAUUCCUGAGCUGGGUCUGGUGGCACCCCUGUUCAAACCCACGAUGCUUCAAUACAAGGUGCUGAUUCACAUUGAGGAGGUUAGAGAUUUCGGAGAGUUCAUGGAGCCGCCAUGGACCGCUGCGGUGUCUUCGGACAGCGGGCAGAGUGGCCUCCCUCCUUCCGAGGGCAGCAGCGGUGGUAGCGGCACGGGAGCCGCGCCCAUCCGUCCCUGCUGGCUGUUCAGCGCAAGGGACUCGCGCGGUGGUGGUGCUGUUGGUUCUUCUCGGGGGCACGGUGGCGCGGGGGAGCCUCUAGCAGCGGCGCUGGCGACCGCAGAUUGGGAGGUGCCGCCCAUGGAGCCGAGAUCGUGGGUGGCGUCAGCGGGGCCACCACGACUUGCAAAGGAGAGGAUUGCUGUCAGGCAUUCUGCUUUUGACCGCUUGACCAUGCCAGUUGGACCAACAGAAGGAUCGAGAAGUGAUAUUUCAAAUCGCGAGGCCGCGCAGCCCGUGCAGGCAAUGAUUGAGGCGUCGGAUGGGAUUCUCAUGGAGAGGCAGCGGGCGGGGCAGGCUGGGGGGACCCCACCGCGUAGCCCCACCAUACUGCGUCGACCGGAGGGCUUGCUCUCCCCUCGGGUUCCCCCCCACGCAGGAUGGAGACAGCGACGGAGCACAAGGCACCAGGGGUCCCACCUUGCAGAUCGGGCCAUUCCACGGCUCGGCCGCACACCGGGCCCGCGCCAACGGACCAAGCCGCGGCUGUCGACGAAUCAGCAAACGCGGGGACUCGGGCGGGUGGGGGCCACCUCUUCUGGGCGGUGCCCCGCCUGUAUCGGAUCCGCUGCCUACCCCGCCCAGCCAACUAAUGAUUACUAA